GCCCGGGUGGCUCAGUCGGUUGAGCGUCCGACUUCGGCUCGGGUCAUGAUCUCGCGGUCCGUGAGUUCGAGCCCCGCGUCGGGCU
rnacentral:tRNA from 1 species